CAUGGAUGGCGGGGGAUGCAGCUCAGCCAGGGCCGAGCAGAGCAGUGGGUGUGCAGCUGCUUGGUGGGGCAGCACUGUGGGAGGAGUGCAGAGUGGGACCUGGGGGGACAGAGAUGGCUGCUGGAAGGAAGAGCCGUUCUGUAGAGCUGCUGCUCUGCUGCCUCUCUGCUCAGGGACCUCCGUGGGGAGUCAGCAAAGAGGGGCUGAGCAGCAUGAUGGUGCCAGUCACCACUGUUGCUGGGUUGGUGCCUCAGUGCCCUGGCUCGCUCGCUGCCUUAGCCCACCCUGGGGACUCAGAGGGAACAGAAAGAACCCGAGCAGGUGAGAGAGAAGUUACAGAGGUGCUCAGUUGCCUUGAAUUCCCCCUGGAGCAUCCCGGCCUGCUGCUAGACAUCUGAGUAUCACAGAAGACCCAAGCAUAUAACACAGUGAAGGACGGUUUGGGGACGAUUGCAAAGCACUCAGGAGAAGGAUUCAUGGAGCCGAGGACCAGGACUCGCAUCAAAGACAGACUGAUGGGAUGCUGUUGUGACAAGAGGAGAGGACAGGAUUGCCCACUGGAUGAGGAGUUGUGGAGCAGUACUCAAGGAAAUCCCAUCGAUCAGACCGAUUCAGCAGAGACUUUGCCUUGCAGCCAUCAGACAUACCAACUCUGGCCUCCCCACUGCAAAACCCAACUUGGAUACAGGGAGGAAGCAUUGCUGCCUGGCAUGUUUCUACCAUUCCUGAGGACAUCCUGGGGCAGAAAGUGGCACUUGAAUGCCAGAAGGCCUGCAUACCUCUGCUAGUCCAGGCUCCAGCACCUCUCUGCUGCCCAGAAGAUAUCAGCAUCUUGGGACUGAUGGGGAAAUUCACUGUUCACUGCUUUAAUGGAACUUUCUGAUAUGGCAUUAUAUCCAUUUGGUUGAUUUUCUCCUCUGCAGCUGAUAUUAGUUUUAUACAAAGAUUAUGGAGUGAGUGUUCCUAGACUGGAAGACAUGGGAUUACUCUGUACUUGGGUUUGUUUGAUCCUCAUUAAUUCCUUUCCCCAAAAACAGUGACAUCCUAAAGAAGAACUACUGCAAAUGUCUCAUUCUCUGCACAGGGGCAUAACUUCCCAGUGAGUUUGUUUUCUGCUUGCUAGCACUUACUAAUGCCUAAAAACAACUUCUGCAAGAGGAAAGCACGAGGCAGCAACUCUUUGCCCAUGCAAUUACAGUGAUUGUCUACACAAAUCAAGUGUUUUUGUAUGCAAAUGGCCAGUAAGCAUCUAGUGGAUGCAAUGGCUUGAAUUUCAAUUUGCAGUGAAUAGUCACAUAUGCAAACACGUGUUAAAAUGUGUAUAUAUUAAUAUCUUACAAUCAUCAACCUCCUUUUCAAAUAUUAUUUGGCUCACGUCAUUUAAAAACUCUUCAGUGUGCCAUAUGUAACCUCUUACAAGUGAAUAGUGAUUCUUCUAAAAGUAAUGAUGACUGUUAACUCCCAGUCACUGCAAUGCUUCCAGAUACGGUAGGAAGUACAUUCCCAAUAAUUAGUAAUUAGCAGUAACUAUUUUAUGGAGCAGAAAAGAGUUGAUUACAGUUGUUUUAUCAGAUGGUAUAAUAAUAGAAAAAAAUCUUGUUUCAGAGAAAGGAGGAAAAGGGGUGAUUUCACAAAGUUGGCUCUCACUUGCCAGCCGUCCAUCACUGAAACUACAGCUUCAGGGAUCAGGAAUUAUUGAUUUCAAAGGGAUUAACUCUCAGCUACAGAUAGUUCAGUUUCAGGGCAUCAUUUGUAAGCUGAGCUGUAGCCAUAAACCAGCUGGCACUGGGGGCCUGAUCCAAAACUCACUCAAAUGACUCGGACAGCAAUUUCAGGGGGAUCUUUGGGUUAAUAAGUCCCCAGCUGGGAGGGCAGCUUGAGAGAAGUCUCCGUUCUCAGAGCAUCUGGCACAAGGGAGAGGCCCAUUUAAAGACAAUUUCUUCAAGGCACAAGAAAAGUGGUUUCUGAAAUGAGGAAGGGGCUUGUUUCAUCAAAGUGAGCUACGUGCACCCAGCUCACGUUAAUUCCUUCACAGCCUCUACUGCCUUUUGAGCUGGCAGAGGAAGAAGAGCAGGUAAACAUCAGGUCUGCUCACACCAGGCUCUCCCUUCUAACGCUUACUGAGUUAAUUAAUUUUUGCUCAAUUUGAUUUGACAUUCAGAUCUGUAAUAUGUUUAUCCUUCUAAUGGGCACUUCUCCCUUUUCCUCGCUGCCUCUCAAAGAUUUAAUAAAUGACGG
rnacentral:lncRNA from 1 species